GCCUAAUACAUGCAAGUCGAGCGGAUGAAGAGGGCUUGCUCUCUGAUUCAGCGGCGGACGGGUGAGUAAUGCCUAGGAAUCUGCCUGGUAGUGGGGGACAACGUUUCGAAAGGAACGCUAAUACCGCAUACGUCCUACGGGAGAAAGUGGGGGAUCUUCGGACCUCACGCUAUCAGAUGAGCCUAGGUCGGAUUAGCUAGUUGGUGGGGUAACGGCUCACCAAGGCGACGAUCCGUAACUGGUCUGAGAGGAUGAUCAGUCACACUGGAACUGAGACACGGUCCAGACUCCUACGGGAGGCAGCAGUGGGGAAUAUUGGACAAUGGGCGAAAGCCUGAUCCAGCCAUGCCGCGUGUGUGAAGAAGGCCCUCGGGUCGUAAAGCACUUUAAGCUGGGAGGAAGGGUUGUAACCUAAUACGUUGCAGCUUUGACGUUACCAGCAGAAUAAGCACUGGCUAACUCUGUGCCAGCAGCCGCGGUAAUACAGAGGGUGCAAGCGUUAAUCGGAAUUACUGGGCGUAAAGCGCGCGUAGGUGGCUUGGUAAGUUGAGUGUGAAAUCCCCGGGCUCAACCUGGGAACUGCUAUCCAAAACUGCCUGGCUAGAGUACGGUAGAGGGUGGUGGAUAUUUCCUGUGUAGCGGUGAUAUGCGUAGUAUAUAGGA
rnacentral:rRNA from 1 species